UCUAAAGUGCCAGAUUAUGGGCUAAAUUUAAGCUUUAGCUAUGGAUUCAAAUCCCUUUAGUU
rnacentral:tRNA from 1 species